AUACGGAGGACGCGAGCGUUAUCCGGAUUCAUUGGGUUUAAAGGGUGCGCAGGCGGCCGUGCAAGUCAGCGGUGAAAGCCCGGGGCUCAACCCCGGAAGUGCCGUUGAUACUGCAUGGCUGGAAUGCGGUCGAGGCGGGCGGAACGGGGCGUGUAGCGGGGAAAUGCGUAGAUAUGCCACAGAACGCCGAUAGCGGAGGCAGCUCGCCAGGCCUGCAUUGACGCUCGGGCACGAAAGCGUGGGGAGCGAACAGGAUUAGAUACCCUGGUAGUCCACGCCGUAAACGAUGGGCGCUCGUCGUCGGCGGCAGACAGUCGGCGGCCAAGCGAAAGCGAUAAGCGCCCCACCUGGGGAGUACGGUCGCAAGGCUGAAACUCAAAUGAAUUGACGGGG
rnacentral:rRNA from 1 species